CGAACGCUGGCGGCGUGCUUAACACAUGCAAGUCGAACGGAAAGGCCCCUUUGGGGGUACUCGAGUGGCGAAAGGGUGAGUAACACGUGAGUAACCUGCCCUUGACUUCGGGAUAACUUCAGGAAACUGGGGCUAAUACCGGAUAGGAAUCCUUGCUGCAUGGUGGGGGUUGGAAAGCUUCGGCGGUUUUGGAUGGACUCGCGGCUUAUCAGCUUGUUGGUGGGGUAGUGGCUUACCAAGGCUUUGACGGGUAGCCGGCCUGAGAGGGCGACCGGCCACAUUGGGACUGAGAUACGGCCCAGACUCCUACGGGAGGCAGCAGUGGGGAAUAUUGCACAAUGGGCGGAAGCCUGAUGCAGCAACGCCGCGUGCGGGAUGACGGCCUUCGGGUUGUAAACCGCUUUCAGCAGGGGCGAAGCUUUUGUGACGGUACCUGCAGAAGAAGCACCGGCUAACUACGUG
rnacentral:rRNA from 1 species